rnacentral:lncRNA from 1 species
CCUCGGUGCCCGGCGGCUCGUGUGCGGCCCAUUUGCCCAGGUCUGGAGGGUUUGGCGGGGCCGGCAGGAAGGAAGCCGCGGAGCGGACGCGGUGGGCGUGUGGGAUAGAGACGACGCGGGUGACCAGGUCGCAGCCGCUGGGCGUGGGCAGGGCGGAGAGCGGAGGACACUGAGGAGCCGGAGUGCACAUGUGAAACGUAUGGCCACUGUUCUGCAGCCGUCCAGGCACGAAAGGUGCUGUCCCGUGAGCCGGCUCGCGGCGACACUUGUGCAGAGCCGGGGAGGCCCGGGACCGCGCGAGCGGCGGUUUCCUUUGGCCAUUAGGCCCCGCCCACGAGGGCAAUUCCGCCGGCUCUAGGACAGGCUCCGCCCACCGCAUGCCUCGGGGGCGGGUCCACUGAGGCUCCGCCCACGGGCCCCACACCUCUCCCUUCGUCCCCGCCCACGCAAGCAAAGGCGCUCGGUCCCGAGCAGGCUCCACCCACCGCGGUCCAGGGUGGAGACCACCGAGUCCCCAGGAGCCCACGUGCCAAGGUUCACGCAAGACCCACCCCCAAGGCCAAGCCGGCUUCCCCGGCAUAGGCACCGCCCACCUUACGUCUUGGGGACUGGAUCCACCGGGGCCGCGCCCGUUUGCUGCGCAUCUACCUGCACGCCCCGCCCAUCGGCCCGGCCCACCGAAGCAAGCCGGCUCUUUCCCGGUUCUGCUGCAACUGGGCGACCCUGGACCGUUGGGAUUUUUGUGGUCUGAUUUGCAUAUGGUCAUAAGUCUGUAAGAAAACUGCAUCAUAGAGACCAGGGAUCACUCGAUUCUCUGCCUUCCCUGGUAGCUCUUUAUCGAGGGAACAGGCUUAGCUCUCUAAUUCGCUACUUCCACUGACCUUUAUUGGACAUCCCAUAUUGAUGGAGCGCGCUAGCAAGUAGACGCUCGCUCACUCGGAUGAUUUAGGAGCUGCCUUCGUCGAACCCAGGGCCUUGAGCAUGCCAGGCAAAUGCCAGGUCCCUCAGCUACAUACAUGCUCAGCCUAAGGCAGUGUAUUUUUUUUUUUUUUUUCUUUUGAGACGGUUUCUCUGUAUUGCUUUGGAGGUUGUCCUGGAAGUCGCUCGGUAGCCCAGGCUGGCCUCGAACUCAUAAUCCUCCUGCCUCUGCCUCUUUCAGCAAAUCCCACUGGCGUGUGCCACCACAACUGGCCAGUGUAUCCUCUUAACCCUUGUUUUUGUUUUGUUUUGUUUUGCCUUUGAAAAUGCCAAGCAAAGCAUUUCGGUUGUUCUCCCCAAAGUGCUGUACGAGAAAACAAACAAGAUCUGAAGGUGCUGAGGGAGGUUCUGAGAGUUUUGUCUGAGGGUGCACCUAGAUAAAAGUAAGCUUCAGGUAGGCAUGCCAGGCCAGAACGGUCGUAUUUGCAGAAGAAACCAUGAUUUCUCUCUUAAGUGGGCUAAUAAUUUCUCUAAAACAAAUGGUUAAAGCACAAAAAAACAAAAACAAACAAAAAAACAGUGCCUGGUAUUAAUUUGACAUUAACAAAAACAAAACAAAAACAAAUGCAACUUAGCAUGGUACAAAUCCCAAUCAGAAAGGAGUAGAUCUGAAGCUAUUGCAUUUGGGCCAUGGAAUGAAAAGGAGUGUGGGCUUCUCAGAGAUUAAGUCAGUGCUGCCAAAGUCCCCGUACCACCGUGCAUGGUCCAGAGUGGCACAUCCUUGAUCCGUUUGACAGACACUUGGCUGUACAUCCCCGAUGCAAACCACUGCACAAAAAACUUUCCUUUUUGGUGGCAGGGAGUCUCCCUUGUCCUCUGGUAAUUUGCAGGCCUGGAUGGAAACAAGAAACCCUGUGUCACCCUGCAGGAGACAAGUCUGCAAGGGAAGCGGUGGGGAUGGUAUAGCCCAGGACACAAUAAAGUGGGGUGCAGGAUGUUUUGCUGCUGGAGAGGAGAUGGGAAGGACAGUCUCUGAUUGGACGGGAACGGCUUGCUGGGGAGCUGGGCUUGCCUCCCAGUGCAGCGAGGAUGCUAGAGUUUAGCUGGAUAUGAACACCUUUUCAUUUCCUCAAGACGGGAACAUGUCAUCCUGCCAGGAGGCUCUCUAAACAGGAAGGUAAGCAACUCAAUAUAGUCCAUGGAAACCCCUGAAACUGACCUGAUUCACUAGGCCCCUCCCUGCCAGAGUAAGCAAUAAAAGCAAGAGUUCCCCUCAGAGGGAAGGAAGCUGAGCUACAAAGACUCAUGGAAAGAAGACCAACUGAGGGACCUGGAAGGGACACUCUCCAGCCUGUUGAACUCCCUUCAGGCAGUGCUGUGUGCUCCAGGUUCCAAGAUUUGUUAAAUGUCACCCAUACUGGGGUGGCUUUAGUGAUGCAGCUGUCUUUGAGUCAUUUCUGCUCCUGUAAGUGACCCUUCAUAUUUCUAUAAGUAACCCCCAGUAAAAUUCACUGAUUCACCCAGCGGGGCUUGGGUCUGUCACCGUGGGUUCCCUAUCUGGGGUGAGGAGAUGUGUGUUACAUUUCCCCAGGAAACAUUUUACCACAAUACUCAUUUGCAUCCGAGGAGAUGCCUGUGGCAAGGGUGUGGAAAGGGGUGCAAGGUUAAGGGUCAAGGCAGGGCGGCGUGUAAUUGGGGUGAGGCACCUCCGGUGACAGGCAGUAAUGAAGAUCACAGAUGCCUUCCAGGCAGUAAGGAAGAUCACAGAUGCCUUCCUGUGGUCUUGCUUAGGCAGCAGAGAACCAGUCCCCAGGUCUCACUAGAGGUUCAGAGAGCCUUGAAGAGGACCUGCCAGCUACAGACUGGCAUAGGCUGUGUCUCAUGCUGGGCAACGGGUUGCCUAAGACUAUCUGCGUAUCAGAUAUUUACAUUAUGAUUCAUAACAGCAAAAUUACAGGGCUUCCCGUGCUCCUAAGCCAGCUGGAGCGCAAGACAGCCCAGGAGGACCUUUCCUGUUGAGGACCAAAAACAUGGCCAAAAGCCUGGAACUUGGAUCUUGAGGGUCCUUUGGGUGUCACAGACAACUGUGGUGCGGAAGCCAGAACCUUGGGCACAGACUUUAUUUAGGAGGAUAUUGUUCACCUGAAUGGACCCGAAGCUGGCUGGACAUGCUUCACACCCCACCUUCCUGUUGUCUCCUCGGCUGCCAGUAUAACUUGGAGACCUGACUGUUCCUGGGAAAGCUGAGCCUAGCCCCUGCUCAGGGGAACAGGGUUCCCUCCAAGGUUACUCUUGGUCUGGGGAGGACCGGAGGGAGAGGCUGAUUUGUGUAUGUUCCAGAUUCUGAGUUGUGAGGGAGAGGUACUGAGUAAGCCUUUCCAUUGCCACCAUGUAUGAGAAUGCACAAGACGGAAUUUGCAGCAUUGUAAGCUUUGUUUCUCUUUCAUUUUUACUAUAGUGCUGUGGAGGGAUAUUUUUUCAGGCUGACUUUUUGUGACUUCCCAGAGCUGUGCUGAGUAAAACUCCAGCAGGAACUACAGGCAGUUGCCAGGCCCACCGAG